GAUCCAGCUAAGCAGCACAGGACCACACACAGUCUUACUGAGGAUAGGAAGCCUGAUCUGCUGCUAAUAAAAUAAGACACCAUACAAGAUGGAUCAGAGAGCAUUGAUCUGCUGAGUGGACUAAAGAUGGGGGCGCAAGGUGGUUGGCUGGAGGCUAACAGAGGAGACUGGGCGGCCAUCUUGGAUUCCCAUAGAUGGGGAGGACAUCACUGAGCAUGCCAGGACCAGCGGCGACAUAGUGGAGGUCAGUGGAUUGGACAGUGUCUUCAACUCUGGGCUGGGGAACAACACUGUUAACU